CCUACGGGGGGCAGCAGUGAGGAAUAUUGGUCAAUGGACGAGAGUCUGAACCAGCCAAGUAGCGUGAAGGAUGACUGCCCUAUGGGUUGUAAACUUCUUUUAUAUGGGAAUAAAAUGUUCCACGUGUGGGAUUUUGUAUGUACCAUAUGAAUAAGGAUCGGCUAACUCCGUGCCAGCAGCCGCGGUAAUACGGAGGAUCCGAGCGUUAUCCGGAUUUAUUGGGUUUGAAGGGAGCGUAGGUGGAUUGUUAAGUCAGUUGUGAAAGUUUGCGGCUCAACCGUAAAAUUGCAGUUGAAACUGGCAGUCUUGAGUACAGUAGAGGUGGGCGGAAUUCGUGGUGUAGCGGUGAAAUGCUUAGAUAUCACGAAGAACUCCGAUUGCGAAGGCAGUUCACUGGACUGCAACUGACACUGAGGCUCGAAAGUGUGGGUAUCAAACAGGAUUAGAUACCCGGGUAGUC
rnacentral:rRNA from 1 species